rnacentral:lncRNA from 1 species
UCAAAAUCGAAAAUCCUAAAUCUCAUCAAGCAAAGUGACUUGACUUUACCUCAUUGAAACAUGAUGUUUCAUUAGCUUUUGAGGAAUGGGUUCUUCAGGUUUUUGAGGUCUGCAGGUUGAAGUGCAAAUUAACUGUGGAGACAUCCUGACCUCCUGGUGCUUGCCAGGCUUGGAGAUUCAUCCUGGCUGUCUGGCAAGGGUUUCCCAUGACUUUAGGAGUGAUGGGGCUGCUGUGCUCGCUUGUGGGUAUCGUUUGGACCGGCUUUGCAGUCAUCUUUAUAAAAUGAGAGUAUCUUCCCUGCUCACACGCAGAGGUGGAAGUCUGCCAUGCAACGAAGAUGGAGGACCUGUGGGAGCAUUUCCCCCUCUGACUGGAGAGACAGCAACCUGCCUAGAAUUUAAUUACUAUCCAUUGCCUCCAUCAUUUUGCAGCUGAGCAGCUUGGGGUCUGCUUUUCACUUGAAGCCUUUUUUCUGGAUAGUUGAUCUGGGCAUUUUUUCUGUAUUAAGUUGCCUGAAAAGUACACCAUGGUAUGUGUGCUCUGAAUGUGCAUAGUCCAACCUAUAAUUACCAGUACAGUCACAAAUCACUGCCUCUCUGCAUGCUCAAAAUCACAGCUGGAUACAUGUGAAAUCAGUGCCUCCUCCUCUAAUAGUUCUGUGGCAAGAACUGCAAAUCACCUCCCAGCACAGUGUUUUUAACCCUUAAGGGUUAAGACUCAAGCUUAAAUAAUCUUAAAUAAAUUUAAUCUGUAGGUUUUGUGGGUAAGGUAUUCUUUCUCCUUCUGCACCACCUCUUCAUAUCCAAUACAAGGGUGCAACACUGCUGUGGCAGCCCUUGAGAAUAAAUGGGAGUUUCAGGUACCAGCUCUUACUUCCAGGACUGUUUUUAAUUCAAUGACUUCUGUGCAAAAUAUUUAAAUUGUAGUGGAAAAAGCAUACUCCUGGAGGCUGGCACAAAAUGUGCAUUUUUCAGAGAGAAAUCCCUCUGGAAGUCUGAAUGUUUGGAUACUACGGAUAGGAAUUUAAAAGCUUUUUAGAUUGCUUCACAGCCUGAUCUCCUCGAUAGAAGGAGCAAAUCAGGCAGAGGGCAAAUGGCUGGCACUGAUAUGGCCGAUUUGUUCAUAUGCCGUAUGCCUCCCACUGGGCCUGAGUGACAGACCGUAUUGAUCUGCUGCUUCCUUUAUAUCACCUCCAGCUUUUGUUUCAGUGCUUCCUGGUUCAGUUCCCAUAUUCUUUCUGUAUAAUAUCUUCUAGGAGCAGCAGUUGAGGUGCUGUUGCCUUUUGUGUUUUAAGCCAGUGGCUGGCCUGGCCCUCUCAAAAGGCAUGAAUUAAAAUAGAGUCUGCUGGUUCUUAAGCACUGAAUUACUAAUUUUGGGAGGGGAAAUCUGAGAAUUCACAUUUAUUGCUGUCACCCAGGCAGGCAGGCAGGGUAAAACUAACGUGGGCAGACUGGUGCCUGUGCAGUUACAGUGAUUCACAUGAAAGGGCCACUAAGCCCCCGUUAGAUACAAGUCCCCUUGUUGCAGUUGGGAACACACAGUGGGUAUGGUGAAUGGGGCAGCUUGGUGCUGGCAAGUGAGAUAAAUCUGGAAGAAAUGGUGUGCAAGGAACUCUGCUGUGAGUUCCUCCAGCCUCGCAAGGAGGACCACUCUUACUGCCUGGAAGUUACCAUGGCAAGAGGGACCUGGACAGGCAUGAGUGGUGGGCCCAGGCCAAUCUCAUGAAGUUGAACAAGGCCAAGUGCAAGGUCCUGUGCCUGGGUUGGAGCAUCCCAAGCACACAUACAGGAUGGGUAGAGAAUGGCUUGAGAGCAGUCCUGAGGAGAAGGAUUUGGGAGUGUCAGUUGGUGAAAGACUCAACAUGAGCCAGCAAGGCCAACCAUAUCCUGGGUUGCAUCAAGAGAAAUGUGACCAGAGAUUGAAGAAGGUGAUUGUGCCCCUCUACUCUGUUCUCAUGAGGCCCCACCUGGAGUACUGUGUUCAGUUCUGGAGCCCCCAGCACAAGAAGAACAGAGAGCUGCUGGAGCAGGUCCAGAGGAGGGCCAUGAAGAUGAUCAGAGGGCUGAAGCGCCUCCCCUACAGGGACAGGCUGAGAGAACUGGGGCUCUUUGGCCUUGAGAAGAGAAGGCUUCAGGGGGACCUUAUAGCAACCUUCCAGUACCUGAAGGAGCCUACAGGAAAGCUAAGGAGAGACUUUUUAUAAGGGUGGGUAGAGACAGGGCAAGGGGAAAUGGCUUUAAACUGGAAGAGGGUAGAUUUAGACUAUGUAUUAGGAAGGGAUUCUUUACUGCGAGGGUGGUGAGAUACUGGAACAGGUUGCCCAGAUUGAGGCUGUGAAUACCCCCUCCCUGGAAGCAGCAUUCAAGGCCAGGCUGGAUGGGGCUUUGGGAAACCUGGUCUAGAGGGAGGUGUCCCUGCCUAUAGCAGGGGGGUUGGAAAUAGGUGAUCUUAAGGGUCCCUUCUAACCUAAACCAUUCUAUGAUUCUAAGAGAUCCACUGUUAGAUUACUGCUUUUUUUACAUAACAUACUUCUAUUUCUACACAGAGCUGCUCAGAAGCUCUGUAAAGUAUAUUAUUGAUCCACAGGCAGCACGAUGAGGCAUGCAGAUGUAAUUAAGUAAUAAGGUGCAUGAAUACACAGACUAGAGAAGCCUUGUGUCUUAUCUUUAGGUUGGAUUUUUUGCUCUGGGGGAAAAGAAAUAGUCAUCUGACAGUCUUUUCUUGUGUCUGGGGCAUUUGCAGCUUCACUAAGAUUCUGGCUAAGCAACCACUGAGCUCACUGCCCACGGGAUACUUAUGAAUGCUUCCAUCAUCAUUUUAUUCCAGAAACUUUUAGUAGUAUAUAUUUGACAAAAAAAAAAAAAAGUUCACCGCUGAAUAAAUAUCUUUGAAAUCAGGUUUAGAGUUGAAGCAGGCAAGGAGAAAUGACAAAUGCUGUUACAUAAAUUCGUUAGCCUUAGAGAACAGGCUAAGGAGCAAAACAAGGCUGUGAUUAGUGUGAUGGAUUAAGCCGGUCCCCAGGCCUUUAUUCGUACUAAGUUCAGUGCUACUUGAGGCCAGGAAGUCCUUGUACGCUGUUAGAGGCUGCUCAGAGAUUUGUUCACAGAAAAAGGAUGCUUUGUUAACAGCAAGGGAAGGGUGUACUUAGCAUUGCCAGUCCUAACAUCCAUACAUCCUCCCCCUGAAAGCAGUGGAAAUGUAGCCACCACGGCUCCACGGUGGCUUUGUUCUAAACAUUUCCCAAUGCUGGCACCGCUGGCCGUAGAAGGACACGAUAUGGAAAAGAUCUGGACUUCAGUGGGACUUCUGGCAUACAGACAGUACUCAUGUAUGCCUGGGUGACCAAGAUGGAAAUCUCCACCUGAGUCCUAUUUGUGCUCUUGAGACCUAUGUUGUGCCACGCUAGUGAAAAGCUUUCGCAUGUUGAAGUUCUUAUUUGCAGCACCAACUCAGAGCUACGACAAAUAGCAGUGAUAGUUCUGGACAGAAGCAGAGCUCCUUCCCUGUGACAGCAGGUUCCAAAAUGUGAUUCCAUAUCAGUAGGGAAAUAAUUGCAAUAUGGUAAGAAAUAAUUCAUAUUUCCUGCAAAUAAUCACUCUGGUUCCCUACUCUUUUCCAGUCCCUUUUCUUAUUCACCUACCUACAAUAGCAAAUGUGACAACAACUUCUUGUCUGCCUUGUUUUGUUGCUGCAUUACAGCUUGGAACAAGCAACAGCUGGUUCAUCCUUGCUGUUUUCCCUAGGUUUUGACUUGUUCUUUGGCAAGGAGGGGAUCCUCUGAGUGCCCUGCUCUGUGCCAUGGCUGAGCCAGCUGAAAGGUCCAAAGCAUGAAGCCACAGUGUGGUGGCCAAACUGCUAUCAAAACCAAUUACUGAAAUCUAGGCUCUGUCCACCCCACUGCUACAAGGAAGGAAAACUACACCUCCCAUCCAGGAGACAAUCCUGGGAUAAAAGUGCAUGAUUCUGACUGACUACUGUGGCUGACACCCGCAAACUGGGGAUGUGACAUUGUGAGGCCAUGGAAUGUUAAGAGAUGGGCUGUGGUCUGUUUGUCCCUGUUAUGUAGGAAGCCACAAUGAACAAUGCCACUCUUCUUUCGUGGUGGAGAGGUUACGUGGUGUCAGCGCUGAGUUGGCCAGGGGCAGUGAUGUGAUGCACCCUAUGCUGUCUGUGAACAGAAGAGAACAGCUGGUAGAGGGAGUUUUCUGUUUGUGUUUGGGGGCAGAAAUACUCAGAGAAAAUCAUUAACUUGCUGAGGAUACAAAGCCAGGAGUGGCUCAUGCACCAGAAGGCUGUGCUGCCAUUCAGUGAGAUCUGGGCAGGCUGCAGAGCUGGGUGGAGAGGAACCUGAUGAGGUUCAACAAGAGCAAGCAUGAGGAGAGUAGCUCUGCGGAGAAGGACCUGGAUGCCUUGGUGGGUGCUGUGUUGUCCAUGAGCCCACAGUGUGCCCUGGUGGCCAAGAAGGCCAAUGGGAUCCUAAGGUGCAUUACUGGUGGCCAAUGGGAUUACAACUACAAUGGGAUCCUGGUGGCCAGCAGGUCAAAGGAGGUGAUCCUCUCUUUACUCUGCUCUGCUCAAGCCAGAUCUGGAGCAUGGUGUCCAGUUCUGGGUUUCUCAGUUCAAGAAAGAUAGCGAACUGCUGGAGACAGUCCAACUGAAGGCUACAAAGAUGGUGAGGGGCCUGGAGCAUCUCCCUGAUGAUGAAAGGCUGAGAGUUGUGGGGCUGUACAGCUUGGGGAAGAGAAGGCUGAGGGGAGAUCUCAUCAAUGCCUAUAAAUAUCUAAAGGAUGGGAGUCAAGCAGAUAAGGCCAGGCUCUUCUCAGUGGUGCCCAGCAACAGGACAUGGGGCAGUGAACAAAAACACAGGAAGAGUGACAGAGCACUGGAACAGGCUGCCCAGAGAGGUUGUAGAGUCUUCUUCUCUGGGGAUGCUCAAAACCCACCUGAACACCUACCUGUGCAACCUGCUGUAGGGAACCUGCAGAGGUCCCUUCCAACCCCUAUGAUUCUGGGUGAAUUUUGUGAACUUUAUUAAUGUGGUUAACUUUGAAGCACUCCAUGCAUAGGUAACAAAUAGUUCUCCUUUUGCACAAACCUGUGAUGGCUCAUACCCGCUCGCUUGUUCUCAAGGCAGCUUUAAUCACAAAUUCCCAUCACAGCACCAUGAAGUGAUUGCUUCUUGUUAUGAGGAAAGCUAACUCUGUCCCAUCCAUACUCAGCACAUGGUGGGAAACUGCAGCACAGUGUAAUGGAAAAUAUUUGUUUUUCUGUCUUGGAAAACCCAGAUUUGUGGGAGUGUGGAAGGCACAGCUGCUGAACUGAGUGGGCCUGCAGGAACAGACACAGCUUGCGAAGGCCUAUGGAUGGAUGGCAUUUAUUUACAGCACUUUCAAAAUUCCUUUCACUCUGCAGGUCUGAACUCCCAGUUGGUUUAUAUUCUGGGAAAUGAUGGAAAUUAUCAGCGUGGUUCAAACAUUGCCAAAUUCUUUGCACUUUUUCUUAUAGGGCAUAAAAUGGAACUGCUCUGCUAGGAAUAGGUGUUUUCCAACUGUGCAAAAGAGUUCAAAGGCACAAGUUCAAGGGCCCUCGCCCUUCACCUCCCUCUCCCUGCUGGCCUCCCCCCCCAAAGAAAUAAUUGGAUUUGUUUGUUGACACAAAACUGAAUGAGCAAGCCCAUCUGAAACGUGUUGGGUUAUACUAUAUAUUGUACAUGCCAGCCUAGAUGAUACGAUGUAAUUUCGUGACUGAGUGUAGAGAAGGCAGCAAAAAACCCUUUUAAAAAGUAAUUUCUAGUAGUACGGCUUAAUGAAACUCGCUGUUACAGACUCCACUAAAUAAUGGGAAGCUUUAUCAAAAAAGCUUUAUUUCUGUAACACUUCAUAUAAUCGCAUACUACUAAGUAACAAUAACAAAAGAAAAGUCAUGUUUCUUUCUUGGCAGCUCCUUGGCUCCUGCUGUUGCACAUGAACAGGAGGGAAGCAGAGACAUUGACUGGGGGAGGGCAUGGCUUUGCCCAGCCCCAUGUACCCCAGCUGUAAGAGGAUGAAAGCCAUCAGUAAUCAUCAUAGUUGACUCCCGCCCCAUGCCUGAAGGUGUGUGGGUUCCGGGGGCCGAUGGGCGAGUCCUCAUCAUAGUGGUGUUGGUAGUACCCCCCGUAGUACUCGCUGCCACCACGCCCCAGGCUCGUCCAGUAGGACAUGUCGUCUUCAAAUUUCGCCUCGUCGAAGCCAAGGUAGAGGAACUGCUGGUACCACUGCUGCACGUCGGGCUGGCUGCGGUCCCACAGCUGCCGCCGCGGGCGCCUCAGGCUGCGCAGGAACCCCUUGGCUGCCUCUUCCUUCAGCGACACCUCCGGCUUCGUGGCAAUGGGGGCUUCUCGUUUCUGAAGCAUCCGCUUAAGUUUAUUUCCUCUUGGAACACCGGGAGCUGCGCAGAGCAGCGGCACGACGAAGAGGAGGAAGAAGAGGAGGAAGGCCCCGGGCAGGGCUCCGCGGGGACACGGUGGCGGCAUGGCUGGUGGCCUUCCCGCCGCGACGGGACGGGAGCGGACGGGACGGGACGGGUCGGGUCGGAGGGAGUGGAGCAAGGGGUAGCCGCGCCCACGCCCACGUCGCGCCCGCCCUCGGCCCGGCCCGGGGCCCCGCUGCGGGGGGAGCAGAGCUAAGGAGGCCCCGGUACCGGGAUGCUCCGGAGUGCGGCCGUC